GAAAUUAAGACAGGAAAGGAGACUGGAGAAGAAGGUAAAACAGGAAAUGGAAAAAAAAGGAACUUACUAGUGAAAACCAUAAUGCCAUUGAUCAGUACUUGCUUAGUGGAGAUGAAAAGUUUCCAUUAUGAUCUGGUAUCAGGAAGGUCUCGAAUAGGUCACAGUGUGUUCAUACUACGCACACCAUCUCUCUGAGUUCAGUUUGCAAGCCCUGUGCCAACUCCGUCUUCUUGAAACCAGCCUGUCCAUCCUCUUUCUAUACACUACUGCCUUGACCUACAUUGGCCACUAUUUGGUGCUUCCCAGCUACACUGAAGCAGAGAAAAUCAACUAUAUCAUACUGUGGAACUUAGAAACC